CAUAAAUUUCUGSYYCACGGUUUUUAAAUUGCUGUGGUAUUUUGACUAUACGAAGGUAUUGAAAUAAGGCUUUAAAUGGGUGCUAAAAGAAUGGUUUAACAAUUAUUAGCUUUCUUUAAUUAAAUAAUUGAAUUUAAUUUUUUUGUGAAGAAGCAAAAAUGUAAAUUAGGGACAAGAAGACCCUAUGAAUUUUUUAUUAUUUUUUAAAAAUAUUUUUUUUAAAAAUAAUUUGAUUGGGGCGAUAUAAAAAGAAUAUUUAUCUUUUUGUAAUAAUUUAAAUUGAUCCGCUAUUAGCGAUUAUUUGAAAAAAAUACUCUAGGGAUAACAGCGUAAUAAUUUUGGAUAGUUCAUAUAGAUAAAAUAGUUUGCGACCUCGAUGUUGGAUUAGGAUUCUUUUUUGGUGAAGAAAUAAAAUAAGAAGUUUGUCC
rnacentral:rRNA from 1 species